CGGGGCGUGGCGCAGUCCGGCUAGCGCGCAUGCUUUGGGAGCAUGAAGUCGGAGGUUCAAAUCCUCUCGCCCCGA
rnacentral:tRNA from 1 species